ACGAGGUGCCUUGCUGAUUGGUGCCGAUGGAAGCGUCGUAACUCCCAUCAUCCCAGGUCAGCGGGCACCUCUUCUAUAUCCGGGGCCAUCCGAACCGAUCGUCACACGGUGGAUCCAG
rnacentral:sRNA from 1 species